UCUAAUAUGGCAGAUUAGUGCAGUAGAUUUAAGCUCUACAAAUAAAGAUCAAUCUUUUAUUAGAA
rnacentral:tRNA from 1 species